GCCUCGGACAGAUGAUGAAAAGGGAAUCAGGUGUAAAUCCUGAACAGACGCGCUGCUGUAAGCUCUAUGCCAAAUGUUUGUACAAGUCUGGCCACCAUUUAAUUUUGGGAAGGUGUGCAAACAGGAGUAAGUCAGAAGACCUGCCAAUUUAUUAU
rnacentral:ncRNA from 1 species